rnacentral:rRNA from 1 species
GACGAACGCUGGCGGCGUGCUUAACACAUGCAAGUCGAACGGAAAGCCCCUGCAUUUGCGGGGUGCUCGGGUGGCGAACGGGUGAGUAACAUGUGUGUAACCUGCCCCUGACUUUGGGGUAACUUCAGGAAACUGGGGCUAAUACCGGAUGAGUGAUCCUGCUGCAUUUUGGGGGUUGGGGAUUUUCGAGGGUUGGGGAUGGAGUCGUGCCAUAUCGGCUUGUUGGGGGGGUUGUGGAUUAGCAAGCCAUGGACGGGGGGCAGGGCUGGGAGGGGAACACGCCCCGUUAGAAUGGGGAUGCGGCACAGACCCCACCGGUAGGCAGCAGUGGGGAAGAGUGCACAAUGGGCGGAAGCCAGAUGUAGCAACGCCGCGUGGGGGAUGACGUCCUUCGGGUUGGGAUCCGAUUUCGCCUGUGACGUGACGUGAGUGACGGUAAUGGGUAAAGAAGCACCGGCUAACUACGUG